rnacentral:rRNA from 1 species
AGCGAACGCUGGCGGCAGGCCUAACACAUGCAAGUCGAACGAAGUCUUCGGACUUAGUGGCGGACGGGUGAGUAACACGUGGGAACGUGCCUUUAGGUUCGGAAUAACUCAGGGAAACUUGUGCUAAUACCGAAUGUGCCCUUCGGGGGAGAGGUUUAUCGCCUUUAGAGCGGCCCGCGUCUGAUUAGCUAGUUGGUGAGGUAAAGGCUCACCAAGGCUACGAUCAGUAGCUGGUCUGAGAGGAUGACCAGCCACAUUGGGACUGAGACACGGCCCAAACUCCUACGGGAGGCAGCAGUGGGGAAUCUUGCGCAAUGGGCGAAAGCCUGACGCAGCCAUGCCGCGUGGAUGAUGAAGGUCUUAGGAUUGUAAAAUCCUUUCACCGGUGAAGAUAAUGACUGUAGCCGGAGAAGAAGCCCCGGCUAACUUCGUGCCAGCCGCCGCCGUAAGAC